rnacentral:rRNA from 1 species
UGGGGAAUCUUAGACAAUGGGGGAAACCCUGAUCUAGCCAUGCCGCGUGAGUGACGAAGGCCCUAGGGUCGUAAAGCUCUUUCGCCGGGGAAGAUAAUGACGGUACCCGGUAAAGAAGUCCCGGCUAACUCCGUGCCAGCAGCCGCGGUAAUACGGAGGGGACUAGCGUUGUUCGGAAUUACUGGGCGUAAAGCGCGCGUAGGCGGGCUGGUCAGUCAGAGGUGAAAUCCCAGGGCUCAACCUUGGAACUGCCUUUGAUACUUCCAGCCUUGAGUUCGAGAGAGGUGAGUGGAAUUCCGAGUGUAGAGGUGAAAUUCGUAGAUAUUCGGAGGAACACCAGUGGCGAAGGCGGCUCACUGGCUCGGUACUGACGCUGAGGUGCGAAAGCGUGGGGAGCAAACAGGAUUAGAUACCCGCGUAG